CAGGUUGUAGUUUAAAUAAUAACGAUAAGUUGCAAACUUAUAGAAAAGAUUCUCAACGUCUUCUAUCUGG
rnacentral:tRNA from 1 species